UUUAUUUUGUGCUAAAAGUGUCAAAGAGAAUAUUUAUAAAAGUUUAUUAACGCUAAGUACUUGCGUCCACACACACACACACACACACACACACACAUAUACGCAACGCAGCACAUUAGAAAUGACCAUAAAACACAAACAAAACAGUUGCCAAGAACAACAACAAUUACGAAGACCAAGUUGAUCGUCAUGGAGCGCUUCCAGAAGCAGACUUCAAGUGCGCCAACAACCACAGACGUGGGGCGUGAAAGAGGAGGGUAGAGGAAGAAGGUGGAGCAGAAAAAAACUGGCACAAAGUGCACAGAACGUACUUAGAACGUCUUUAAGUUCAACAUAAAAAAACACACAACUUGGGCAAACAUAAAUCCCAACAACACAAGCAAACGCCUUAGGCAGUCGCUGGGCAGCUGGCCAGCAUAUUUAGGCGAUUAUUUAUGGCCAAUGGCGACGACGAAAAAUCCGACACUCGGCGCGACUUGUUGGCAAGCACAUGGAUAUAGCUACAGAUACAGAUACAGCUGCACAUUUAUAGCUAACAAUAUAUGCGUCUGGCUGGCUGUGUGUGUGUGUGGAGGCGGCAGCAAACAAGCCCAAACAUGAGCGGAUCGACCACUUCCACUUGCCAACUGUCUGCUGUUUAUUGACGGCAGCAACAACAGCAACAACAACAAACAACAACAAACAACCGACAGAAUUGACACUGAGCGACCCAAAACGGCAGCCAAGCCUGUGACUGCCAAAAUGGGAUCUACUUACAGAGCGCAGACCAUGCCCCCCAGUCCCAUGUCCCCCAGUUCCAUGUCCCCCUGUCCAGUCCAGGCACGACAAGCAGCAGCAGCUCAUAUGUUACAUAACUCGGCCACACAGUGGAGCAAAAAGAAAACACAGAAGUAUACACACAAAAUAAAUGAAACAAAAAUUCAUUUUAGCUUAUUACAAACCGAAUUGAGAAUUAAGCUACGAAUUGGAGCAGAAUGAAAACUGUCACCAGAGAGCCCACAUGAUAUGCUUUUGAAAGAUAAAUUGAUAAGAGUUAGCUAUUGAA